AUGCUUCUGGCCCUGGAGAAAGUCUUGUCCACUCUGAAAAGAAAGAGCGAGCUGGUCAAACAACCCAGUGCCGGUGGCUGUACUGAUAAGGCCAAACAGAUCAUUACUCUUCUCACAAAGAGACACCACACACCAGCUCCAGGAUAUCAACUGUUCCAAGAGCUCCAAGUUACAAGAUAUGAGUCAAAGCUAGCAAAGAAGAAGUACCACUCUCUCUUACUACUACUACUACUCACUCAACAUACAGUAACUUCCCUUAAAAUGUAUACUAUAGUACAGGGAUCAUCAAGGAGAUUCAGCCUCAGGAAUAUUUUUGUCUUGAGCGGAUGGAUGGUCAGGGGACAAGAUUUAAUCAUUUGUAGACUUGAAAUUGUUCGCAAGAAGGCCAAACAGAUGUAAUAUUUGACUAAAACAUAAAUCAUUUCAAACCUUGCUUACAUUUGUAUAUACGAUCACAUCUACAGUAUAUCUCUCUAUUAUGUGCAGGAAUACUUUGGAACAGUUUUACCAAAUUAAAAUGAUUUGGAACGGAUUUGCUGUUGUUUUUUCAGUCUUAUACGCCCCGCAAAUUUUUAAGCAUUUGUUUAUAUUAAUAUACAUUUUUUUUGUGAAAACAUUGGGGGUGAAGUACAAUCACUGCAGGCCAAAUUCAGUUGGGGAACCCUGCUAUAGUACAACCCAAGUGAUACAGAAGGGCUGUUUAGAGUGGAUACCAGCCAGUGUUAAAGCCUGUAGCACUGUGUCUCUGUAUCACUAUAGUGAUUGGUUUCAUUGAUUAACUGCAGUAAAUAUUUGGCCAGAGUAGCCACCUCCUCUGGCAGACAGUUCCACUUGACUCACUGGCAAAGCAAGAUCAUUGAUACCACAAGAAUAGAGUCAAAAACAUAACUUGGAUCAUUAUAUACACGCAACAUUCAAGUUUUGGACAGUAUAGAACACUUCAUUUUUAAAUAUGCUAAAGACAACUACAUGUACUGUGAAUUACCUACAGAAUUCAAAAAGCCAUCAUUGUAAGUGAGAUACAGAGACCUUUUCUGUUUGGAAUAAGAUUCUAUCUGACUGUAACUAAUUCCAUAAUGAACCAUUUUCCCCUUAGGGCCAGUGAGGUCCAACACUAUAAUUGUAGAGCACUCAUUGUAAUUGGAUGGAUAGGCACUUAAUGCAUCAAUGUAACUGAUCAACAAACAUAAUCAAUUAGAUACAGUUACUCCAUCUGUUUGCUCCAAUAGCGCACAGUGCCUUCAGAAAGUAUUCAUGCCCCUUGACUUAUCCCACAUUUUGUUGUGUUACAGCCUGAAUUCAAAAUGGAUGAUAUAGAUUUUUUUUCUCUCACACUUCUACACACAAUAACCCACAGUGACAAAGUGAAAACCUGUUUUUAGAAAUGUUUGAAUAAGAAAUACAUAAAUAUCUCAUUUACAUAAGUAUUCAGACCCCUGAGUCUAUACUUAUGUAGAAGCCCCUUUGGCAGCAAUUAAAGCUGUGAGUCUUUCUGGGUAAGUCUCUAAGAGCUUUCCACACCUGGAUUCUGCAACAUUUGCACAUUAUCAUUUUCUAAAUUCUUCAAGCUCUGUCAAAUUGGUUGUUGAUCAUUGCUAAGCAAACAUUCUCAGGUCUUGCCAUAGAUUUUCAAGUAGAUGUAAGUAAAAACUGUAACUCGGCCACGCAAGUACAUUUGUACAGCCACCAUAACAUGAUACAGCCACCAAUAUGCUUGAAAAUAUGGAGAGUUGUACUCAGUAAUGUGUUGUGUUGGAUUUGCACCAAACAUAACACUUUGUAUUCAGGACAAAAAGUUAAUUGCUUUGCCACAUUUUUUUGCAGUAUUACUUGUUGCAAACAGAAUGCAUGCAUAUUUUUUGAUUCUGUACAGGUUUCUGUCUUUUCCCUCUGUAAAUUAGGUUAGUAUUGCGGAGUAACUAUAUACAAUGUUGUUGAUUCAUCCUCAGUUUUCUCCUAUCACAGCCAUUAAACUCUGUAACUGUUUUAGUCACCACUGGCCUCAUGGUGAAAUCCCCUAGCGGUUUCCUUCCUCUCCGGCAACUUAAGUAGGAAGGACGCCUGUCUCUUUGUUGUGACUGGGUGUAUUGAUAUACCAUCCAAAGUGUAAUUAAUAACUGCACCAUGCUCAAAGGGAUAUUCAAUGUCUGCUCUUAUUGCACACAGAGUGGAUCCAUGCAACUUAUUACAUUUGACUUAAGCACAUUUGUACUCCUGAACUUAUUUAGGCUUCCAUAACAAAGGAGUUGAAUACUUAUUGACUCGAGAUUUCCGCUUUUCAUUUUGAAUUCAUUUGUAAAAAUGCUAGAACAUAAUUCCACUUUGAAAUUAUGGGAUAUUGUGUGUCUGUUAUGGUGAGUGAAUGAGGACCCAAAAGCGAACUAACUUAAACAGAGCUUCUUUAAUAACCAAACAUAGGUAGGCUCAGAUAGACCGGCAGAUUCCGACAGGACAGGACAAGGUUACAGCAAACAUGACGAUAGUCUGGCUCAGGCAUGAAACACAACAAACAAGAAUCCGACAAGGACAGGAACAGAAACAGAGAGAGAUAUAGGGACCUAAUCAGAGGGAAAAAGGGAACAGGUGGGAAACGGGGUGAAUGGGUAGUUAGAGGAGACAAGGAACAGCUGGGGGAAAGCGGGGGAGAAAAGGUAACCUAACAACGACCAGCAGAGGGAGACAGGGUGAAGGGAAAGGACAGAGACAAGACACAACAUGACAGUACAUGACAGUACCCCCCCACUCACCGAGCGCCUCCUGGCGCACUCGAGGA
rnacentral:lncRNA from 13 species